rnacentral:rRNA from 1 species
UGGGAAACGAGGUGGGAAGGCUAAGACAGCUAGGAGGUUGGCUUAGAAGCAGCCAUCCUUUAAAGAAAGCGUAAUAGCUCACUAGUCAAGUCGGCCUGCGCGGAAGAUUUAACGGGGCUAAGCUGUAUACCGAAGCUGCGGAUGCUUAUAUUUAUAUAGGCAUGGUAGAGGAGCGUUCUGUAAGCCUGCGAAGGUGUUCUGUAAGGAAUGCUGGAGGUAUCAGAAGUGCGAAUGCUGACAUGAGUAACGAUAAGGGGAGUGAAAAACUCCCCCGCCGAAAACCCAAGGUUUCCUGCGCAACGCUAAUCGGCGCAGGGUUAGUCGGUACCUAAGGCGAGGCCGAAAGGCGUAGUCGAUGGAAAACAGGUUAAUAUUCCUGUACCGCGCAUGACUGCGAUGGGGUGACGGAGAAGGCUAGACAAGCAGGGCGACGGUUGUCCCUGUUUAAGCGUGUAGGCUGAGAUCUUUGGAAAAUCCGGGAUCUCUUAAGGCUGAGACGUGAUGACGAGCACCAUUAGGAGCGAAGUUGUCGAUGCCAUGCUUCCAGGAAAAACCUCUAAGCUUCAGGUCAUGAGUGGCCGUACUCCAAACCAACACAGGUGGGUGGGAUGAGAAUUCUAAGGCGCUUGAGAGAACUCGGCUGAAGGAACUAGGCAAAAUGGAUCCGUAACUUCGGGAGAAGGAUCGCCCUUGCUGGUUAUUAGAUUUACUCUAAGAAGCUAGUGAGGGUUGCAAUAAAUUGGUGGCUGCGACUGUUUACUAAAAACACAGCACUCUGCAAACUCGUAAGAGGACGUAUAGGGUGUGACGCCUGCCCGGUGCCGGAAGGUUAAUUGAUGGGGUUAUCUUCGGAGAAGCUCUUGAUCGAAGCCCCGGUAAACGGCGGCCGUAACUAUAACGGUCCUAAGGUAGCGAAAUUCCUUGUCGGGUAAGUUCCGACCUGCACGAAUGGCGUAACGAUGGCCACACUGUCUCCAGCCGAGACUCAGUGAAAUUGAAAUUGCGGUUAAGAUGCCGUAUACCCGCGGCUAGACGGAAAGACCCCGUGAACCUUUACUAUAGCUUGGCACUGAACUCUGAAUUUAUUUGUGUAGGAUAGCUGGGAGGCUUUGAAGCGAUGUCGCUAGAUGUCGUGGAGCCAACCUUGAAAUACCAGCCUGAUAACUUUGGGGUUCUAACGUAGGUCCCUUAUCGGGAUUGCGGACAGUGUCUGGUGGGUAGUUUGACUGGGGCGGUCUCCUCCCAAAGAGUAACGGAGGAGCACGAAGGUUGGCUAAUCCUGGUCGGACAUCAGGAGGUUAGUGCAAUGGCAUAAGCCAGCUUAACUGCGAGACAGACACGUCGAGCAGGUACGAAAGUAGGUCAUAGUGAUCCGGUGGUUCUGUAUGGAAGGGCCAUCGCUCAACGGAUAAAAGGUACGCCGGGGAUAACAGGCUGAUACCGCCCAAGAGUUCAUAUCGACGGCGGUGUUUGGCACCUCGAUGUCGGCUCAUCUCAUCCUGGGGCUGAAGCAGGUCCCAAGGGUAUGGCUGUUCGCCAUUUAAAGAGGUACGCGAGCUGGGUUUAGAACGUCGUGAGACAGUUCGGUCCCUAUCUGCCGUGGGCGUUUGAGAAUUGAGGGAAGCUGCUUCUAGUACGAGAGGACCGAAGUGGACGAAUCUCUGGUGUUCCGGUUGUCACGCCAGUGGCAUUGCCGGGUAGCUACAUUCGGACAGGAUAACCGCUGAAAGCAUCUAAGCGGGAAGCCCCUCCCAAGAUUAGUUCUCACUAGGACUUUAAGUCCUCUAAAGAUCCGUCGAAGACUACGACGUUGAUAGGCCAGGUGUGGAAGCGCAGUAAUGUGUGUAGCUAACUGGUACUAAUUGAUCGUGCGGCUUGACCAU